rnacentral:lncRNA from 1 species
UUAUCUCCCUUUGUUCCGCUGCCUGGUGGCCCCGGCUUGCCAGUUUCGCCAUCCUCCCCUAACAGAACAGGCGAACUUCACGCGUUGGCUUCAUGAAAUUCACGAGCCCCUGUUCAACGCCGGCCAAGCCUCGGGGCCCAUACAAAUCGCCCCGUCUUCUUGUUCCAUAGACCAAGAGUGCACCGCCAUGCCAUGUGAGGUCGAGAUAGGAGAGAAAAAGUGGCCGGGAAAUCCACCAAAUCCGUCGCGCGGGCAAUUUCGUUGUGUGCCCGAUAGAAUCGGGGUGGAUUGGCCUUGGGGCAUCGCUUGGCCAUCGUGGAUCCAUUGGUGGCGAUUGGAUGCGCAGUGGAGCUCGGGCGAAUUGGGAAUUCGUCACCGGACUUGGAUAGCGGCUUGGCGACCGCGGUGUCGCGUGGGCGGGGCCCUGUUACUUCAAUUCGAGGUAAGCUACCUGUCUCAACGUUCGCCUUGUUCUAUCCAGAAAAUCCAUGAAAACCGAGUAUCGGGGCGCGUUAGCUGGGUGGGCCGUCAAUGGCGACCGUCGUGUGCACGGUGUGCCGUCGCGGGGAUGGUUAGGGGAGAAAGACGAUAGGAUAGCCGUCGAUCUCCUAUGCGGCGGCCAUGAUCAGCCAAGCAUGUCUUUUGGGUGCUGGCCGUCGAAUAGAAAUCGAGGGAGCAGAAUGAGAUCAAACUUCGUAACACCAGGUAUGUCCGAUCAGGAUCCCAUGGUGGACAGAACAUAGCCCUUCGCGGUGAUCGCGAUCUAAUCCUUGCCACCGAUUUCUGAUCGAGCGACCAGAAAUCACGCAUACCCCUUCGUGGGUACGCAUUUUCAUAUGAACCCCUGGCAAAUAACUGAAUCAACCCGCCACCUAGCUCAGAUUAGUCUGAGUCUUGAGAAUUCUCGCGCAAAGGUCCCUACGCUAUCCAAUAUUUGGAGCGUUGUCGAGAGAAUUAGAAAAUCGUAGAAAUAAAUAUAGAAAAGGCUUUUAAUGCAAAAAUAAAUGCUAGAACUUGUUUAAAUCAUAGAAAACUCAUACUUAGUCCAAAUUUAUCCAUUCUAGUUCCUAUAAUUUUGUAAUAUUAUUGUUCAUCAUUUAGUACCACUAUUUUGACAUGAAAGUCAUAUUAAAAUUUAUAUCCUAUUUAAUCUUGUACAAAACACAUAGAAUCUUUAGAAAUUCAUAACUUCUUCGUUUUAACUCUGAUUUGAUCCGCUCAAGUUGCGUUAGUCUCGUAUAAAUAAUUACUAUGCAAUAACAACACUUAUUACACCAUGUCUCAUUAUUUUAUAAUUAGAUCUGUAUUUAACUGAUGUUGGUUAGUUUGGUUAAACUGCUUAUCAUUAUUGACUACUAGAAUAUGAUCUAUGGUCAAUUUAUAACUUAGAUUAAAGUUGAGAUAAAUAUUUAUAAAAUAACCUCUCAUAUGAGUUAUAUUAACCAAUUUAUAAUAUAGAUUGAUAUUUUAAUCACAUAGAUCUUCUAUAAAAUCAUAACUCCUUAAUCGUGACUCCGAUCUUAGUAAUUCUCGAUCCCACGAUCUCGUAGCAACACGUAGAUUAUUAUUAUCAAGUUUGUACUUAUGUUUGGUGUGAUGUUAAUUUUGUCUAUACCAUGUUUGUUUGUAUUGCUAUGGCUAGCGUGAGGUCACGAGUCAAGUGAAGAUCAUCUUGGUAACUGGAAUCUCAAGUGCUAGGCAAGUUGUGCCCUUGAUCAAUUUUGUUUACCCAAUAAUGUUCUUUAUUACCACUAUUCAAUGCAUAGGUUCAAUUUUUAUGGAACCCAAUAGGUCACCCUAGUCUAUUUAUCCUUUUUACCUUGUUUACCGCUAAAUCACUUGGGCAGUUUUUGCUAUUACUUUAUAUGGUUUUGGGUUAAUACUUCAUUAUAUCCAUGUUCCAAUUAUUUUGUUAUUUUAUUUAUGUUCAUGUCAAGAUUAUUAUCUUUAAUUGGAACAUGGAGCUUAACUUGAGAAACACAUGCCACCACAUGGGUGGAAUGGGACGCCCUUGGCUAACUAAUUAGGAAAGCUAGUGGAAGACUACCUUACCCGAAAGGAGCAAGGGUAGUAGGGGAGUUGCAUGCAAGGAGGUUCUCGGGUUGACUUUGCUGCAAUGGCGGUCAGACGAGGGAUUCUUGCAAAUGCUCUUCCCAUAAACUGUAGCGGGUUUUUGGAAGCUAGUGGAACUUUGUAAAGGCCUCGUAGUGAAUCCCUAGCCAUUCACCUCGGUAGUGUCUAAGGGUCUAGCUAACCCUGGCGAAAUAGGAUACAUGACUUGUGGGUACAGGGUACAACCUCUACAGAGUGUAAAACUGGUAUAGUAGCCGAGCUCACGGUCAAGAGCAGCUCAGGACUCUCGCAUGAUUAAUUUAUGGAACCUAAAUUCAAUUUGUCAUUUGCAUUGCAUGGGAUUAUUAUUAAUUUUGUUAUAUUAUUAUUUAUUUAUUAUGGUUUGGUAUUUACUUAUAUUUAGUAAUUGCUAAUAAAAUUUGACCAACUUAUUAAAAGCAAUGCUCAGCUUUAACCCCUAUUGUUGAUCAGCUUUACACAUCACAUGAACUCCCACCUUUAGUGAGUUCAUGCCACAUUAUUCCCCACAACUUGUUGAGCGAUGAACAUGUGUGAGCUCACCCUUGCUGUCUCACACCUCCCCACAGGAGAAGAACAGGUGGUUCAAGAGGAGCCACACAACGAGGAGUUUGAUUCGAUCUAGGUGGUGUCUCCUAGUUGACUUUCUGGCGCUAAGGAUGGAUUUUAGUUCGAUCUAUAUUUAUAUUUUAUUUUGUAAGACUUCCGCUAUGUAAUAAAUACUCUGAUUAUAUUGUGACAUUUAUCUCUGUUGGGGGCCUUCGGCCUCCGAAGGUCCUCAAAAACAUGAUUUGACAAUGUUUUCCAAGUGAAAUAUGUGAAUAGGUAUCUUCGGAAUUGGGUUACUGGUAUACAAGAGUAUGAUCAAGACGAAGCUUGAGUGAGACGGAAGGCGAUUAUGACGAAGGAUAAGAUGAUCACGAAGCUAUGCGCAGAAAAGCUUCGGCAUGACAGCAGAAAAGGGGAACCGACCUAAAGAUGAAAAGCCAAAUUGGACCUCGAAGAAUCACUAUAGAGUUAUCGAUAAAUGUAAAGGGCAUUAAUGUAAUUUUACACGGGCUGCGUCCCGUGCCUAUAAAUAGAUGAACAGUAUUCUCGUACUAUUCGCGCUGACUUGGCAUUCACUUUUGCGCCACGCCUAUAUUUUCUUUCCUUCAAGCCGAAGGUACAUUUGUAAUUUAUCUUUGUCUACACAAGUAAUAUAAA